rnacentral:rRNA from 1 species
UACGAAGGGUGCAAACGUUGCUCGGAAUCAUUGGGCGUAAAGCGCACGUAGGCGGCAUUCUAAGUCGGAUGUGAAAUCCCUCGGCUCAACCGAGGACGUGCAUCCGAAACUGGAACGCUCGAGUAUGGAAGAGGGUCGCGGAAUUCUCGGUGUAGAGGUGAAAUGCGUAGAGAUCGGGAGGAACACCAGUGGCGAAGGCGGCGACCUGGGCCAAUACUGACGCUGAGGUGCGAAAGCGUGGGGAGCAAACAGG